GCCCCCCGCAAUUGUGGUCUAGAAAGGCGCCAUCGGCCAUUCGCGUCGCUCAAAUCCCUUGGAACAGGGUAUCGGAGAAGGUGAGAAUCCUGUGCCGUGGCGCGGAAUGGCCGCACGAUGCGUCCUUGUCGAGUCGGGUUGCUUGGGAUUGCAGCUUGAAGUGGGUGGUAAAUUCCAUCUAAAGCUAAAUAUUGGCGAGAGACCGAUAGCGAACAAGUACCGUGAGGGAAAGAUGCAAAGAACUUUGAAAAGAGA
rnacentral:rRNA from 1 species